rnacentral:rRNA from 1 species
CAAAAGCGUAUAUUAAAGUUGUUGCAGUUAAAAAGCUCGUAGUUGAACCUUGGGCUUGGCUGGCCGGUCCAUCUUUUUUGAUGCGUACUGGACCCAACCGAGCCUUUCCUUCUGGCUAGCCUUUUGGCGAACCAGGACUUUUACUUUGAAAAAAUUAGAGUGUUCAAAGCAGGCCUUUGCUCGAAUAUAUUAGCAUGGAAUAAUAGAAUAGGACGUUAUGGUUCUAUUUUGUUGGUUUCUAGGACCAUCGUAAUGAUUAAUAGGGACGGUCGGGGGUAUCAGUAUUCAGUUGUCAGAGGUGAAAUUCUUGGAUUUACUGAAGACUAACUACUGCGAAAGCAUUUACCAAGGACGUUUUCAUUAA